UAUCUUCAGGGCAGGGUGCGAUUCCCUACCGGCGGUACAGCCCGCGAGCCUUUUAUGGCAUGAUCCGGUGGAACUCCGGGGCCGACAGUAUAGUCUGGAUGAAAGAAGAU
rnacentral:ncRNA from 1 species